rnacentral:rRNA from 1 species
AGCAACGCGAAGAACCUUACCAGGUCUUGACAUCCUCUGACCAUCCUAGAGAUAGGACCUUCCCCUUCGGGGGACAGAGUGACAGGUGGUGCAUGGUUGUCGUCAGCUCGUGUCGUGAGAUGUUGGGUUAAGUCCCGCAACGAGCGCAACCCUUGUCCUUAGUUGCCAGCAUUCAGUUGGGCACUCUAAGGAGACUGCCGGUGACAAACCGGAGGAAGGUGGGGAUGACGUCAAAUCAUCAUGCCCCUUAUGACCUGGGCUACACACGUGCUACAAUGGAUGGUACAAAGGGUUGCGAAGCCGUGAGGUGAAGCCAAUCCCAUAAAACCAUUCUCAGUUCGGAUUGUAGGCUGCAACUCGCCUACAUGAAGCCGGAAUCGCUAGUAAUCGUGGAUCAGCAUGCCACGGUGAAUACGUUCCCGGGUCUUGUACACACCGCCCGUCACACCACGAGAGUUUGUAACACCCGAAGUCGGUGGGGUAACCGCAAGGAGCCAGCCGCCUAAGGUGGGA